rnacentral:rRNA from 1 species
CCCUACGGGGCGCACCAGGCGCGAAACCUCUGCAAUAGGCGAAAGCCUGACAGGGUUACUCUGAGUGGUUCCCGCUAAGGGGACCUUUUGGCACCUCUAAAAAUGGUGCAGAAUAAGGGGUGGGCAAGCCUGGUGUCAGCCGCCGCGGUAA